GCAGGUGCUAUGCUGCAAGUCGAGCGACGCAUGCCCAGUUCGUAAGAACAGGGUAUGACGGAGCGGCGAACGGGUGAGUAACACGUGAGCAACCUGCCCCACAGACCGGGAUAGCCCAAGGAAACUUGGAUUAAUACCGGAUUCCCUCGAACAAUCGCAUGGUUAAUCGAGGAAAGGCCUUUGUGCUGUGGGAUGGGCUCGCGGCUUAUCAGCUAGUUGGUGGGGUAAAGGCCUACCAAGGCAUCGACGAGUAGCUGGUCUGAGAGGACGAUCAGCCACACUGGAACUGAGACACGGUCCAGACUCCUACGGGAGGCAGCAGCAGGGAAUCUUGCGCAAUGGGCGAAAGCCUGACGCAGCAACGCCGCGUGGGGGAUGAAGGCCUUCGGGUUGUAAACCCCUUUCAGGAGGGAAGAAAUUGACGGUACCUCCAGAAGAAGGACCGGCCAACUACGUGCCAGCAGCCGCGGUAAUACGUAGGGUCCUAGCGUUAUCCGGAAUCAUUGGGCGUAAAGAGCUCGUAGGCGGUUCAGCAAGUCGGCUGUGAAAGCCCGAGGCUUAACCUCGGAAUUGCAGUCGAUACUGCUGUGACUCGAGUCCGGUAGAGGAGAAUGGAAUUCUCGGUGUAGCGGUGAAAUGCGCAGAUAUCGAGAGGAACACCAGUAGCGAAGGCGGUUCUCUGGGCCGGCACUGACGCUGAGGAGCGAAAGCGUGGGGAGCAAACAGGAUUAGAUACCCUGGUAGUCCACGCCGUAAACGUUGGAUAUAAGGGUGUGGCGGUUGUACCAACGACUGCCGUGCCGAAGCUAACGCAUUAAGUAUCCCGGCCUGGGGGAGUACUGCCGCAGCUAAACUCAAAAGGAAUGACGGGUCCCCGCCACAAAGCGGCGGGAGCAUGGCCGGCCUUAAUUUCGAAUG
rnacentral:rRNA from 1 species